UCUUCCUCCUCUUUCCGCCUCUUUGAAGAAAACCCUAACUCUACCAAAAAAAAAAAAAAUUCCAGAGAAACAAAUCGACUUCAUCUUCAUUAUUUUUUUCAUCAUACGAUUCGAAGAACCCUGAUCUCUUUUCUUUUGCUUAUGAUGCAUAACCCUAGUCCCUCAUUCUGUUAAAAACAUGUUUUCUGCUGGAAAAAAGUUUGUUGUUGACUGAAUCAUAGAGGAGUUUUUUGUUGAAACGAGAUCCACAAGAUGAUGUUGCUGGUGUUCAAUUAGAAGAUAAUGAAUCUGAAGAGAUCGAUGGGGCUUAACGCCUGAUUCAAGAGUUCACUAAUUUUGGAAUGAAAUUUGGGAGUUCUGGUGCAAUCGUAGCUAAGAUUUGAAUCAGUUCGAGUCAGGAAUGAUCACGAAGAGAUCUGAAAUUCAAUUUCACAUCGAAAUUAGCAAAAACUUAUUGAAGGAGAGGAUUUGAAGCUGGAUGGAUUUGGAAACUAGGGUCUGAAUUAGCAGAAGGGUUUGAACAAGAAAUUGCAGCUGAUGAAUAAAAUGAAGAUUUAGUUGUGAAGUGAAUCUGAGAUGUCUGAAGUUGGAUAACAACUGAAGAUGAAGGAGAUGCUACUGUAUUAUGAUGGGGGUUCUGAAACUAGGGUUUGAGUUGGUGUUUGAACUGGUGGAAGAGGUGGUUGCUGAGAUGGUGUUUUAGAGAUGGGUAUGCUGGUAGUGAUUAUGAACUGGUGCUGAAGGUUCGGAGUGACUAGAUGAAUGUGAGGUUGUUAUUACAGGGUUAAUUGUGCUCGAAGGAUUAAUGGAGGAGAAGAACAAGCAGCUGGAGAUGGAUGGGUUUUGGUUUGUGAAUGGUAUUGAGUUCAGAGUUGCAGGUGCAGGUAAUUUCAUUAAGAGAUUUUAAUUAGAAGAUGCUUGCUGCUGGUGUUUAAUUAGAAGAUAAUGAAUCUGAAGAUAACAAUAGAUCAUGUUGGGAAGAUGAAGGAACUCUUAGAAAGCUGGUUACGGAGAUUCAAAAAGUAGAGGAGGAAGAUGAAAGCUAUAUGGAUGGUGAAAGCGAAGACCAAACCUAAGGUUCCAUGGAUGGCAUCCAAACUACAAGGCCAGUUUGUUGCAGUGGUUUAGAAAUUAGGAGGAAUUCAAAAUGUUGAAGUUCAUCCCAACAUACGUACUCAAUUCUGGAGUCCAGAGCACUGGCCAAAACAUGUUCUUGUCAGAUAGAUACACAUGGGAGGAGCACUCUGAGAUUGAUGUUCCAGCUGGUUUCUACGUAUUGUUUGGAUCAGAAGAUGAUGCUGAUAAAAUUCUUUAAAGUCAUGUAUUUCCCACCUGGACUCACCCAGAAACAUGCUGACAUUCACCUGACGGUCUUGUUUCUUGCACAAAAGUUGUACUUUUUCUUUUAAUGCUUAUAGUGGCGGCGAGCAGGAUCUAUGUGAAUAGCUGCUGAAAUCAAUUGUAUUACUUUACAAGGAUCUGGCUGCUUUUGAAGUUCUUACUCAUGUUAGUAAGCAUUUGCAUUUCUUUUCUUAGCUAGGUAAUUUGAAGUUACCCAGGUAAUGCAAUUGGAGUGGCAGAUUAACUUUAUGAAUGUAAAUGUAAAUUACUUUUGGCAAUUCAGUUUCAGCCCUAAUUUUUUUU